AAACUUCUUUGUAAAUCUGGUUUUCUGUAAAUCUUUUGUUUCUACUACCUGUCCUUUUUUUGGCAAAAAGCUCCUAUGUAUCCUAGCUUCCCCCCACCUCCACUUCUUCAGAGUCAUUUCUCAGGGCUAAAGCCCUAAUAUCACCCCAAAUAAAACUUCACUCUCAACUUUCAGGUGGUGCAAUUUUUUUAAGUUGACAGAUGGAAGAAAUUCUAUAUCUAGUUAUAGCCACUUAGAAAAAUAAAUCAGCUGCUUGGUUUUAAAAAACAAAUUACUCAAAUCAUUUUGAUAGGGAUGGAGUGGGAUAGUUAUACAGGUAUUUGUAGGGAACCACAGAGAAGGAAACCUGGGGAAUUAGGGGAGACCACUGUAAGUUAAUAAUUGCUCAAGAAAAGCCAUCAGAAAGAAGCAGUCUUGCUUAACUGUAAAACCACAAAUAAAAUCACUAGAUAUGCAUCAGUUCAUUAAGAGAAAGAUAAAAUGAGGCCUGCAUUCAAGUUCAGCAAGACAAUGACCCUUAGGACAAAGGACAAGGAUUUAAGGGAAAGAUGACAUUCCAAACUAGGAGACCGUCAUUAUAGAGAAACCUGAGAUGAUUCAACGUCUUUUAGCAGAUGUUACUACCCUUCUGCUGAUUUGAAUAAAUGCCACGAUGGUCCUAGUUUGACCUCAUAGGGUCAAAAACUCUCUUACCAGCUAUGAAGGAGGAGCUAAUGACGUAAGCCUGACGUCUACUUGAAAGGAAGAGGAAGAGGCGGUCUUUUCCCCACCUCCCACCUCCCCUUGGAUUAUAAAAGAGUAGCCAACCUACUUCUUGGGGCAGAGCUUCCUUGCAUCUCUCACAAGCAUUUUAUCUCAAUAAGUCAAUCUCUUUCUUGCCUAUCACUUUGUUCCUGGCUGAAUACCUUCUGUGGGGAGGCACAAAGAACCUGAACCUCAGUAAGUUCAGAACCAGAUGUUUCCAAGAUACAUCUGCAGAUGUUUUCAUUAUGGAUUUUACCCCACGGGCCAAGCUUGUUUUUAAACAUGUCUUACGGACUCUUCAUCUCACCCAUGCCAUGUCAAUUUUAUUAGUUUUCCACAUACACAGAUGAAUACAUUUAAGUCACAUAGAUGCUAAGCAGCAGAGAAGAAUUAAGACACAGGCAGAAUCUGCUGAAAUCCUUUGAUCUACAACAGAAUUAUUUACAGUUGAAAGCAGCUGACCACUCUGCCCAACUUUCAUAGGCCCAAAGUCAUUAAGAACCUAGUCAGCCUCCUCUCCCAGGCAUCUGGCAGUCUCCCCUGAUGUAUGCAUUCAGCACAAAUACUUCAGCCUCUGCCAAGUAACAAGCUUGUCCAACAAAAAGAAAAUAAGAGCCUUAAAAUGCUUGGCAAGCAAAGAAAAAAACAAAACAAAAAACCCCAGCACCUUGAAGUCACCUAUGGAUUCAAGAGAAAAAUACAGUGAUAAAGAUGCCCUGAUAAAAUUGUAUAUCAGUGAAAAUGGAAAACCAAUAGAUACUAACAGAUCGUCACCAAAUUAUAAAUAUCAACCUCAAAGCCAACAGUAUAAAACGAAGCACCACACUACUUGCAAUUUCAAUACCACCCUCCAGCUUCCCCUCUUGUUCUUACAGUCAUCAAGACCAUGAAUCAACACAAAAAGCAUGAGGAGCCCUCCUAAUAUGCCAGAGGCCUUCAUUACUUCAGCUCUGGAUCCAAGGUUUCAUGGGAAACAGGAAUUUGAGGAAAGUGGGCACCGCAGGUGUUUAUAGACCCCUUGUCUCCUCAGCUGUGGGUGAUGAUCCAGAACACACACUUGGCUUUUCCUCCUCACCGCUGAAAGUGUUAUAAUCAUGGCUCAGAGAAUCAGAACCUAAAUACGGAGAAAGUAGUUCUAGACGGCACCUCUCCAUUCAUGUCUUCCCCAAGCUUAAGGAUCUGUCUGAAAUGGUGCCUUAUGUAAUAUUUGAUACGUGUCUAAUGGAAUGUGAAGAGCAGAGCUUGACAGGAUGAUUUGAGGAGAUUCAAGGGAGUAGUGCAGAAGAAUUAUUUAUGAUUUGAUUGAUAACACUGUUUAUCAUGACCAUUUUGGGGUCUUGUGAAAAACACCAAUUCCCUGGCCACACAGCCAAUGUUUCUGAUCCAGUUGACUGACUAAUCCAUCUCUCUAACAAGCUCCAGGAGAUCUGAUUCAGCUACUUUAUCCUUCGUUAAUGUUGCCGUAUACUCUACCUAGAACCUCCAACUUGGAGUUGAGUAAAAUGUUAACAGUGGGUACUUUCAUCUUAUUCCUGAUCUCAGAGGUAAAGUCAUGAACAUUUACCUUCAUGAUACUGGAUCCAAAACAACGACCUCUCAGGUUACAGAAAAGAAGAGGAAACUGGGCUGCUCAUGUGACUUUAUGGCUCACAGACAGCUCGGGUGUUGCAUCAACUCACAGCAUCAGCUGUUACCACAUACUCAACCCAUUUUCCUAAAACGCCAUUCUCUACUGACCACAUGGACUUGAAAAUUCAACAAAGUAAAACGUGAAGAUUAGUUUUGCCAGAGCCGUGUUUCCUCUUUGGGUCUAUGGUAGUGACAGGAGAGAAAGUAUGUGUAAUUCUCACACCAUUUAUUUUUUAGGCUCUCAGUCCUUGUGUGGGUAAUUUGAGCAGCACCAGGAGACCCCGUCUGACUUUCUGAUGUGUUCAAAUCCACGCACAAUCUUCCUGGCAUUCAGCAUCAUGGCAAUCCAUCUUAUUCCCUCCAUCUCUACCCCAGCUCCCAUCUCCACUUUCCUCUACAACACCCGAUUUCCAUUCUUCUCUUACAUUUAUACUCACUCUUUCAAGUUCUUUCUUCUCAUCCUCUCUUUUUCUUAAUUGAAGUAUAGUUGAUACACUAUAUAAAUUACAGGUGUAUAAUGUAGUGAUUCUCAAUUAUAAAAGAUUGUGUUCCAUUUAUAAUUAAUAUAAAAUAUUUGCUAUAUUCCCCAUUUUGUACAAUAUGUCAUUGUAGCUUUCUUUAUACCUAAUAGUUUGUACCUUUUAAUUCCCUGCUCCUAUA